UGGGCUGAUCUUGUGUGGAAAAGAAACAAUAUAGAGCAACACAAAGAAAGUAAGAAAAAUACCUGCAUGAAGGAGAGAAAGACAAGUACCAGGACAAGGGAGAGGAAAGCCUGGAUGAGGAGAAGGUAGCGGUAGAGGAGUUAGAAUGCAUGGUGGGGUAACUGAUGAAAUAAAAGCUUCUAUCAUAGACCAUGUCAUAAAGCACGGGCUAUCAUACAGAGUGGCUGGUGAACGAGGACAGCCAAAUCUCAGCCGGGACACAGUGGUAUCCAUUGUCCAGAUUUUUCAACAAAUCAACAGGAUUCAACGUCUACCUCCCUCAGGGGCAGAGGAAAGCCCCUAAAUGAGGAACAGGAACUUGCCAUUAUCAGCAUGGUGAUUUCUGUAUCUGGUUUCUUUUUUUCAUAAACUGUACAUUAUAUAAAGCUA